rnacentral:tRNA from 1 species
GGGGUUGUGGCUCAGUGGUAGAGCACUUGCCUUGUACGUGUGAAUCACUGGGUUCAAUCCUCAGCACCA